rnacentral:rRNA from 1 species
GUGGGGAAUAUUGGACAAUGGGCGCAAGCCUGAUCCAGCCAUGCCGCGUGUGUGAAGAAGGCCUUUUGGUUGUAAAGCACUUUAAGCGAGGAGGAGGCUCCUUUAGUUAAUACCUAAAGAGAGUGGACGUUACUCGCAGAAUAAGCACCGGCUAACUCUGUGCCAGCAGCCGCGGUAAUACAGAGGGUGCGAGCGUUAAUCGGAUUUACUGGGCGUAAAGCGUGCGUAGGCGGCUUUUUAAGUCGGAUGUGAAAUCCCUGAGCUUAACUUAGGAAUUGCAUUCGAUACUGGAAAGCUAGAGGAUGGGAGAGGAUGGUAGAAUUCCAGGUGUAGCGGUGAAAUGCGUAGAGAUCUGGAGGAAUACCGAUGGCGAAGGCAGCCAUCUGGCCUAAUACUGACGCUGAGGUACGAAAGCAUGGGGAGCAAACAGGAUUAGAUACCCCGGUAGUCC